GACGAACCGUGCGAACGUUGUUCGGAUUCACUGGGCUUAAAGGGCGCGUAGGCGGCUCGCCAAGUCAGGGGUGAAAUCGUUCGGCCCAACCGGACAAGUGCCCCUGAUACUGGCGGGCUCGAGGGAGGUAGGGGCAUGCGGAACUUCCGGUGGAGCGGUGAAAUGCGUAGAGUAUCGGAAGGAACGCCGGUGGCGAAAGCGGCGUGCUGGACCUCGCCUGACGCUGAUGGCGCGAAAGCCAGGGGAGCAAAGCGGG
rnacentral:rRNA from 1 species